rnacentral:rRNA from 1 species
CACGUAGGGCGCAAGCGUUGUCCGGAAUUAUUGGGCGUAAAGAGCUCGUAGGUGGUCUGUUGCGUCCGCUGUGAAAACUCGGGGCUUAACCCCGAGCCUGCAGUGGAUACGGGCAGACUAGAGGUAGGUAGGGGAGAAUGGAAUUCCUGGUGUAGCGGUGAAAUGCGCAGAUAUCAGGAGGAACACCGGUGGCGAAGGCAGAUCUCUGGGCCGUAACUGACGCUGAGGAGCGAAAGCGUGGGGAGCGAACAGG